rnacentral:lncRNA from 1 species
GUCGGGUGGUGGUUUGAACAGGAUGAUGCUUGUCCUGGCAUCAAGCGUUCACUAAUUUUCUUUCAGAUCGAGCUUGGUGACUCUUGACUCGUUUUGACUCGCGUUUCGUGCAUUCCUUGUGAUGUUUGAGCAAAUUAUCCGAGUGAGAAUUUUGGACGCGCGGCGAAAGAAACCGGAAGCGUUGGAUCUACAAAGGCCCUGGUUGGAUCAAACCCCACACAAGGACUUUGUCAAAACGUCACCAUCAAGGACAAGUCAUCUCAGCCCACGAGCAGUGCAUAAAGAUCUGUGGCAUGCCUCACGACCCUACAGCAACGAGAUUGAUACAUACGAGUCCAAUUCAUUCACUGAAGAUGUUAAUUCUGACUCUAUUGUAAAGAAAGCACCUGGUCUGAAAAUGAAAACGAACAUUGAUGCUAUUAAGGAAGAGCUGGCCAAAGCUGAGGCCCUGUUGGGAAGUCUGGAAAGAAGUGUGAGCUCGGCGAGCUUCACCAGCCCUCCAGCCAGCCCAUGUACCAGUUUCAUUCACACUGCUGGAAGACGCUGGAGCAACACCUCGAGUCCGACUACGAGCUCUGUUGGGAGUCCCUAUAAGUCAACAACAAGCCCAAGCAACAGCCCUACCAUGAGUCCUUUGGAUAAGGUCAUGACAUUUCCUCACAAGUCAGAUCUCUGUGAGAAAGCUUCCACCUUUUCUGGAAGUUCUUCAAGCAUUGGGACCCAGUUAUCAAACUCUUCUGCCUUGCUCAUCCCCAGUACAACUUCCCAUCAGGUUCAAAGUAAUAUAUCUUCACUCCUGCAGCGUAAUGCUGGAAGUGUUUGGGUUCAAAGCCUUCCGUCUCCCACUGGUCGACUGACUUUUCUUACUAACACCAUUGGCAGCACCAGGGAGGCAAAGUUUGCACAGUCUGGUCAGCUGUUUCGCCCACAGGCUUCACCAAUGAUUAGGACAAUACCCACCACCCAAAUCCAUGAGAAAGAGCAACAACCCCUCUCUACCCAUCUGUACUCAUCUUUGCAGCAGCAAUAA